UCUGCAUGGCGCCGGUGACUCGAGCUCCAGUAUAUUCAGGCAGAUCAUUGCUUCCUAUUAUAAAAAAAGAAAUAAAGCACACUUGACAUCAAGCUAAACUAAGGCUCAACUGGGGAACCGCUGCAAAGGCAUGAGAAGGAAAGGCUCUUCCCAGACUAAAACAUCAAAGCUACUUUUUUUUUUCCCAGUUCACCAUUCUCCCACCAGGCCUCCCGGGACCAGCCUAUACUCCUAGGUUUUUCCACCGUACUAACACACAACACAAUGCAUGUACUGCACUGCACAGGUUGUGUGGCAGUUUGGAGUUUCUCUGUGUUGUCACACCAAAGUGCCUCCCUCAGUGCCAGGAGUGGCCAUGUGCUACGGAGUGGUUUGGAAGGAGGGGUGUGUGAGUGGGCUCAUCUCAGUGCUCCCCCAGUCCCUGGCAACUCUCUCCAGCACCGUUUGUAGGCACACUGGAGAACGUUUUGUAUCCCUGCUUGUCCCACCAGCUAUCCCAGGGCAGGAUAAUAAUGAGAGACUGCGGAGGGAAUCGGCGGAAAGCUGUUACGGAAGGAUCCUGACGGAACCAAGCGGGGAUCUGAAGAAGAAAAUCACCAACAGGAAACAUUGAGGUGUAUGGAAACAUCUAUGGAGGGAUUUGCUUAUGGCCAGUGUAAAGCUGUGAGACAACACCAUCUGCCCUGUAUAUUCACUAAUUAAUUAUGAAAUUAAACUUUUUAAUGUUUUAAUUGAGGUUUUUCCUGGAAAUAUAGGGGCUAAACAGGACUUAAAAGAUGUCUCAUUUUUCCCCAAUUUAAAAUAACAAAUGUGAGGAAAAUUAUCACAAUUGGAAUUCAGAAAAUUUAGUAAAGUGCUUGUUUUACAUCUGUAAGCUAAUGCAGUGAAUGUCUCA